GGGGCGUAGCUCAGCUGGUUAGAGCGCUGGCCUGUCACGCCAGAGGUCGCGGGUUCGAGUCCCGUCG
rnacentral:tRNA from 1 species